GCUGGGCAGGGCUGGCGGGGAAGGAGGGAAGGAAGGGAGCGAAGGAAGCGAGGGGGAGGAAGGCGGCUCUCGCCGCACAUGCAUCCCCAGCCACACACCCCGCCGCCCGCGCCCCGCCUCGCGCCGUGCUCGCCCGGUGCCAGCAGCCGGCUCCGCUCGCCGCCGCCGCCCGCCGCGCCGCGGCUGCCAUCGGCUGCGGGGCCGGGGGCUCCGAGGCUGCUGCCAUCCCCUCCCCGCCUGGCUGCCGGGGCUGCGUGCCCAGGGAUGCCGCGGGAGGCCGAGAGCCCCGCACGGGGGGGCCGCCGCGGCCGCCGCCCCAGGCUCCUGGGGAUGCUGCCGGCUGCCCUGCACCUCCCUGUGUGAUCCAGCAGAGGAUGGAAGCGACCGGCAUCAGCUGGGCAAAGGACCCUUCGCCAGGUGCUGGGAUCUCAUCCCCCUGAAGAUGGGAGUUACAAAUGGGCUUGUGACCCGCACAUGUGGCACAGCCGCCUCUGCUGCCAGACCCCCGACGCAGUAGUCCAGGGCCACCACGGGACAGGCAAGACAUUGGCCACAGCAGCUCAUCCUGUUAACUUCUCUGUGAAACCGUACGUGGAAAAGCUUCCCUUCGCUUCCCGUGAAUGACGGUGGCGGGUGCCCGUGCCCCGCACGCGGCUGCGGAGCCCCCUGCCCGCUGGCAGGGUGGGCAGCGGGCUGUGCGGGACCCCGCUCCCCAGCAAGACCGGCGGCAGCCGAGCACGGAGCCCCGCAGCUCUGUCCCCGGGGACAAAUGCCAGCUGCCAGACUCUUCUCUGGAGACCCAGGAGCAGCCUGCAAGGCACCAGCAUUGACUGCCCCUGCGUUAGCAGUGGGAGGUCCAGGACGUCUGUUGUCACAGAUGUGACUCCAGCCUGCUGGGACAGGAGUGCUCCAGCUGCAGGACACGGCAUGCAGCGGGGAUGGGGAUGCUCUGCAUUGACUGGUGAGCCCCACGCUGCUAGUGUGGACUUUCCUCCUUCUCCUCUUCCCUAAAGGAUGCUAAUUGCCCAUCCAAAAGAUACUGCUCAUGCAGCCUCCUAGAGUGCAAUGGCGAAGGGUCUGCAGGGCUUCUCGUGGACCAUGCUGCUGCUGUUCUGCGCCAUCCAGGAGCUGGGGGCCUGGGCCAUGCACACGGCGGUGGAGGGCCCUGGCCUCGGGCAGCCGGGGGACCCCACACUGCUGGCUGGUGGGCGAGUGAAGCGUGGCUGGGUCUGGAAUCAGUUCUUUGUGGUGGAGGAGUACACAGGCACGGAGCCGCUGUACGUGGGGAAGAUCCACUCGGACUCGGAUGAGGGGGACGGCUCCAUCAAGUACACUAUCUCCGGGGAGGGCGCAGGGACAAUCUUCCUCAUCGACGAGAUCACAGGUGACAUCCACGCCACUGAACGCCUGGACCGGGAGCAGAAAACCUUCUACACCCUGCGGGCUCAGGCCCGCGACCGGCAGACGGACCAGCUGCUGGAGCCUGAGUCCGAGUUCAUCAUCAAGGUGCAGGACAUCAACGACAGCGAGCCACGCUUCCUGGAGGGGCCCUACAUCGGCAGUGUGGCAGAGCUGUCCCCCAUCGGCACCUCUGUGAUGCAGGUGAUGGCGUCUGAUGCUGAUGACCCCACGUACGGGAGCAGUGCCCGGGUAGUCUACAGCGUGCUGGAGGGCGAGCAGCACUUCACUGUGGACAGUAAAACAGGGGUGAUCCGGACAGCCGUGGCUGACCUCGACCGUGAGACACAGGACCGGUAUGAGGUGGUGAUCCGUGCAACGGACAUGGCGGGACAGCUGGGUGGCUUGUCUGGAUCCACCACAGUCACCAUUGUAGUCACCGACGUCAACGACAACCCACCGCGCUUCCCUCAAAAGAUGUAUCAGUUCAGCAUCGUUGAAACUGCCCCCGUGGGCACUGCCAUCGGGAGGGUGAAGGCAGAGGACUCUGACGUCGGGGAGAACACGGACAUGACCUAUCAGGUGAAGGAUGAGGAAGGGGUGGAGAUGUUCAAAGUCACCACGGACAGUAAUACCCAGGAGGCUGUCAUCUCAGUGCAGAAGCCUCUCGACUACGAGUCAAAAAAAGUGCACACUGUCGUGGUGGAGGCCCUCAACAAGUUUGUGGACCCGCGGUUCGUGGACCUGGGUACCUUCCGGGACCAGACGAUUGUGCGGGUCUCGGUGCUGGACGUCGAUGAGCCCCCAGAAUUCCGGCCCCCCUCCAACCUGAUGGAGGUCCAGGAGGAUGCACACGUUGGUUCUGUCGUGGGGAUUGUCACCGCCCUUGACCCGGACACAGCGAACCAUCCUGUCCGGUACGCCAUCGACCGCAGCACAGACACAGAGAGGAUCUUUGACAUCGACGCCAACACAGGUGCCAUUGUGACAGGAAAGGUCCUGGACCGGGAGACGGCAGGGUGGCACAACAUCACCGUCCUGGCGAUGGAAGCAGAUAAUCACUCACAGGUAUCGAGAGCCUCUCUCCGUAUCCGUAUCCUGGACGUGAAUGACAAUCCGCCCGAGCUCGCCACCCCCUAUGAAGCUGCUGUGUGUGAGGAUGCCAAGCCAGGCCAGCUGAUCCAGACAAUAAGCGUCGUGGACCGUGAUGAGCCUCAGAGUGGCCAUCGUUUCUACUUCACGCUGGCGCCUGAAGCCACCAACAACCACCAUUUUUCUCUGCUGGAUAUUAAGGACAACACGGCUGCAGUGCACACACAGAGGAUGGGCUUCAAUCGCCAGGAGCAGGAUGUGUACUUGCUCCCCAUUUUGGUGGUGGACAGUGGCCCCCCGGCCCUCAGCAGCACGGGGACUCUGACCAUCCGCAUCUGCGGCUGUGACAGCAACGGGGCCAUCCAGUCCUGCAACAGCACAGCCUACGUCAUGUCAGCCACGCUGAGCCCCGGUGCCCUCAUCGCGCUGCUGGUGUGCAUCCUCAUCCUGGUCGUGCUGGUCCUUCUGAUCCUCACGCUGAAGCGACACCACAAAAGCCACCUGACGUCCGAGGAUGACGAGGACAUGAGGGACAAUGUCAUCAAAUACAAUGACGAAGGGGGUGGCGAGCAGGACACAGAGGCCUACGACAUGUCAGCCCUGCGCAGCCUCUAUGACUUCAGUGAGAUCAAAGGUGGCGACGGAGGCGGGGGGCCAGGGGAGGGGGUCCCCAGCGGAAACCCGGCCUCCGAGCUCCAUGCCCUCCCACAGUGGGUGCAGAGCCCAGACCUGGACUUCUCCGUGUUCAGAGACUAUAUCUGCAAGAAGGUGGAGCAGGCGGACGAGGACCUCUCCGUGCCACCCUACGACUCUUUCCAGACCUACGCCUUCGAGGGCUCGGACUCCCCCGUGCCCUCCCUGAGCUCCAUCAACACCUGGUCCAGCGGCUCGGAGCAGGACUUCUCCUACCUGGGGGUCUGGGGGCCGCGUUUCCGGCAGCUGGCAGCGCUCUACGCGGGGCGCAGGGGCGAGGAGGACAGCGAGGAGUCCUAGCCAUCCCGCCAACCCCUCACAAGGCUCCUGGCGCCUCCUGGACCGGGGCUGUGUGCCACAGGUGCCACGCUGGGACAGCGUGUGCCUCCAGCUGGGCUCGGUGGCCGCCAGAGAGGGUCUGCGCUGCGGAGACAGGGAGCACUGGGUGACACGCUCCUCGGCAGCUUCCUCCUGUUCGGGGCACCUCUGCACCCCCACGGUGAGGCCAGGGUGCCCAAAGGAGCCACUGUGCCCAUCGUCAUCUCCUUAAUACCAGUUUCCAUUAAAGCACUACACAUUAGUUUAAGAAAGAGAAAAUCUAAUUCAAGAGAAUUUGGAUGGGGAUUCUCCCCCACGAAUUAUCAUUUAAAUAGAUCUGUUCAGUGAGCCCAGUUCAGGAGAGGAAGAGCAAACCUGGAGCCUUUUGUCGUCUAAAUUGGUUUUGUCACUUGAGUCAGAGCAUUUGAAGUGCUUUGAUUUCUUUAAGAGCUUUCCUUGCAGAGGGAAACAAGCUUUUAACUUCUGUUCAGCUUUUUCCCCCUUAGGUUUGCUUGCUCUUUGGAGUCCUCCUUCUCUCUGCACGUGGGCUCCUCGGCGGCAUCGGAGGGAGCGUGGGGCGCUGGGGAUGCGCCUGCUGGAUGCGGGCUCCGGGCUCACAGCCCGCACGGAGCGACGGCUGCACUAGAGUUCACUUCAAACCACACUUCACCUCUAAGCUGCAAUUGCUUCACCUCUCAGUUCUUAGACCUUUCUUGGGGUUAUCAGAGAUGCUUGUGAUUUGAAGGGGCUCUCCCUGCACAGCGGGGGUCAUCUGUGAGGUCCUGAUGUGCCCCGUGGCCCUGGUGAUGGAUGGGGACGUCCCACCCGCUGCCAAGGCACGGUGCUGUGGCCGGAGUCAUGGAGCAGCCGCGGUACUGGAGAGCAUUGUCAGAGGGGUGCGGAGUGGCAUUCCCUGUGGCGGCUCUGCCAGCCCCUCGGGGCAGGCUGGGCCUGGGUCUGCAGUGCCCUCAGCCGAGCUCUAGCUUCCCACCAAAUGUCACGGGCUGCGCAGGGCAGAAGGCAGGACAUCAGCAUACCCUGGCCUUGAGUGAUGGGGGAGACCUGCGUCCCGGCUAGAGGACCGUGCUGCAGGGCACGAGAGAACCACAGCCCCCUGGUUUGGAGAGAUAAUUCCUGCUUACACCCAGCUGUGACAGCAAAGCAUCACCAUCGGCAGUAGAAAAGCCAUCCCCAGGACAGGUCCAUGAGGCCAGAUCCUGCUGGCACUGCUGUGCAGGCUGGGCAGUGGGUCUGGGACACCUCAGGGUUACCCCAGCUGUCCCCACCCCGGCACAGCGCCCUGCAAGAAACCUGCGCAAGCUCCCGCAGCGGGGCCACCUUUCCGUGAAACCUCUGGUUUCGAGAGGCAGGUCAGGAGGAGGCCGGCGGGAUGUGCCAUUGCUCCUCGGGCUGCUGAUGCUGCUGGAGCAAGGUCCCACCUGUGCCUCCCCGGAGGAGCCAGCCAGCCAGGUUUUGUCCCACCGACAGGAUGGUCCAUGGCACAGCCUGGGGCAGUGUCUUUCCUGCCAGGAGCCGGCAACCAAACCGCCUGCCUCCCGCAGCAAGGUCCCACCAGCAGGACGCUGCUUCUCUGGCUUCUCAGAACCAUAGAAACAGAGAGUCGCCUAGGUUGGAAGGGCCCUUUCAGAUCAUCGAGUCCAACCAUCAAUCUGUCACUGACAAAAACCAUCAUUAAACCAUGUCGCUAAGCACUACGUCUACCUGUCUUUUAAAUACCUCCAGGGACGAUAAUUCCACCACUUUCCUGGUUCCUGAUUUUCAUGGAAAUGCUCAUCAGAAAAAGCUUCUUCAAGAGAAGGGUCAGUUAUUCUGGCUGACUUUGAAGGAAAUGAUGGGGGAAAAAAAUGCCUGUGGCUUUCUCCAUCUCUUCAGGAGGAGAAAGUCGGGUUGUGCUUUGAGUGGUAUGAGGUGCUGGGUGUGUGGUCCAGGCUGGCUGUGGUGCCUCCUGGCCAUGUCUGCUCCCAGCAGGAGACACCCCAGCACCGGGGCCCGGGGUCUGAGCCCCCACGGCUGGGCUAAGGCUCCCCAGUGUUGUCCCACAAGCACUGGUCCCCGUGGGAGAGCACCAGCAGCUCGUCCUGCGAGGGGAGGGGGUCAUCAUUCCUUCAUCCUGCAGGACAACAGCAGGAAGAAGAAGAGGCAAACUGCACACCAAGCAACAACAGAAAGUCCGAUGAUGCAUCUUCGUGAUCUUCCUGUUUCAGCCAACAGAGUUCCUUAGUGUUCCUUAAAAAGUGCUUCUUCAGUGUGGUUCUCUUGAAGUCACCAACAGCCUCGUAGCUGACCGGGUGAUCACUCACAAGCUCCCAUCCAUGGACCUCUUCCCAGCUUCAAUACAGCUGGGCAUUGUCAGUGGGUUUUGUGACCAUGACCCGUCCUCACGUUGGCAAUGGCGUGUAUUACGGCAGUGUUCAGUUAUUGGCUGCAGCAAAAAAAUCUCCUUCAUAUUCAGUUUUAAUACUGAAACGUUGCAAAUAAAUGACACUCUAGCCUGACCGCAGAUAAAUCAAUUGCUGGUGGGUUUCUUGAUGGCGAGGGACUGAGGAGGGAGCAAUGUGUUAAUGGAAAACAAGCGUGAACCUCCCUGAGCCCAAGAAUCCUGGUCAAGGCACGCAGCCGCGUACGCUCCGGCAGGUGGUGGCUGGAUGCGGUGACAGCAGCUGGCCAGCACAGAGAGAGGGGGACACACGCUAAACUCUGUGGUGGCAUCAGUGUAGGUCAGCAGAUAGCACAGGCAGAAUUUAAACCUCUCCAUAAAGUGACAGU